GACGAACGCUGGCGGCGUGCCUAAUACAUGCAAGUAGAACGCACAGUUUAUACCGUAGCUUGCUACACCAUAGACUGUGAGUUGCGAACGGGUGAGUAACGCGUAGGUAACCUGCCUGGUAGCGGGGGAUAACUAUUGGAAACGAUAGCUAAUACCGCAUAAUAUUAAUUAUUGCAUGAUAAUUAAUUGAAAGGUGCAAUUGCACCACUACCAGAUCGACCUGCGUUGUAUUAGCUAGUAGGGGAGGUAACGGGUCACCUAGGCGACGAUACAUAGCCGACCUGGGAGGGUGAUCGGCCACACUGGGACUGAGACACGGCCCAGACUCCCACGGGAGGCAGCAGUAGGGAAUCUUCGGCAAUGGACGAAAGGCUGACCGGGCAACGCCGCGUGAGUGAAGAAGGUUUUCGGAUCGUAAAGAUCUGUUGUAAGAGAAGAACGGGUGUGAGAGUGGAAAGUUCACACUGUGACGGUAUCUUACCAGAAAGCGACGGCUAACUACGUG
rnacentral:rRNA from 1 species